UCCGGCAUUGUUUUAAUCGCGUGGUACGCCGCGUUUUACGCGUUCCUCCCGCUGCAUCGAUUUUCGACCUCGUACACCAGCCACAUUUUUGUCCUGUCAACCCCUAGUCGAUCCGUUUUUAUUAGUUUGUUGUGUUUUGUCGCACUAUGGUCAAACGUUCGUCCGUGCGGCGUACAUAUAUAUAUAUAUAUAUAUAUAUACAUUACAAAAGCGUAAUAUAUUUACAUGCCAUACCACCGUAUAUUGACACUUAGGUGUGUACACUUUGAGGGACACAGGUGAAUGGAAAGGACUCUCUAGUAGUAGUAUGCUGUGCGAGAAAUUCUCUAGAAAACGUGACGUGAUGGUUCAGUGGGACGCGAUCGCUUCGAAGGAAGAAUUGAUCGACUCGCAUUGCAGUCGCUGUCGCCACUGACACUUUAAUAAAUCUGCGGACCUUUAAAGGUUUAAAGGCUUGACGCUAAUCGAUGUUUAAAUGCAACGUGAUUACCGCUAAUCUGUUUAGAGUAUUGCAAAAGAUUCGAAUGAAAUCUUGAUACACGCGCAUAAACGUGCUUCUUGUUUCUUUUUACGUUGUGUAUUAUUUUACAUCAUUUCAAAGUGGACAUUGUAUCAGCAGUCCUUUCACAUUGUUCGAGAUACACGUACGUGGGUACAGGGAAGCUCGGGGAAACUAGGCCAGGCUGGACUUCCUUUCCCGUUGAAUACGUAGAAAAUUCGCAAAGGAAAAAUGAUAUAUAUAAAUAUAUAUAUAUGUAGCUUCUUAUGAUUCCAUCGAAAAAUGAGUUCUCGUUGCGUAUCCCGGGGAAAAAUCUCCGGGAGAAAAUAGAACUUUCUCUCAAAAAUAUACACUUGGGAAUGUAUGAUUGAUUUUAAGAUUUAAAAUUAAAUUUUAUAACACGGAAACGGAAUAUAUAUAAAAUUAUCUCGUCGAGCUAAAAUAGUACAUCCUGUUAAAAUUAUCAAUCAUACGAACGUAAUAAUAUUCUGGGAAAUGAAGGAAUCGUUUCGAACAUUUAAUAAUAAUCGUUACAUUAUCGAUCGAGAAAUGGAGAUAAGAAAUAAUUCGGAUGGGAUGAAGAAGACGCAUAGAAGAGAGAGAGAUAGGAAGAUUAUUAUAGAACGAGCGUCGAAGAGAGGAGACGAUCGGAUUGGACGUUCUCGUAAUUGUUGUUGGCCACCCACGCAAUGUAGAUCCACGCACAAGGAAGCUGGCCGUGCGAUGAGUUGCACAAUUUAAUAAGCGUCGUUCAAGGUUUCGGGGGCAAUGAAAUCGAGCGCGGUAUCGGAAGAACGUACUUGGCCGAAUUUAUCGAACAAAGCGUGUUUCCACGAUAAAGUCCAAAGGCAGCGAAAACUUGGUUAACAGCGAAGAUAAAUAGCGGUAAUAAGCUUUAUUUAUCGUUGUUUGCACGAAGUUCGAUCGAUCCGUUUCUCUUCCCCCUCCCCCUCCCAUUUUCUUUCUUUUUAGAAGGAACCAAUUUAUUUCGUGACAUUAUUUAUGAAAUACGAUGAUCGAUCGGAGAGAAAGUGAGAAAUAUUUAAAUCGUUAACUAGUAUUGAUGUAUAACGCAACUUUUUAUAAUCUUCGCAAUUGCAUAUAUUAAUAACGAUGUUUUUUUUUUACUUUAAUUCUUCGUGAAAUAGGCGAUCGAUCCGAAAAGUAAGAAAUAAAAUAAUUUAAAUAUAUGAAUAACGGAUAGGCUGAAUCGGUUAAACUUUUCGAAUCUUUGAUCAUAAAGCAACUAUUUACUUUUUUUUAAAUCUUCUUCGUUUUUUUUUUUUCUUGUCCAAUUAUAUAUAAAUAAGUUUAAAAGUUUAUCGUUAUUUUGAUAAAUAUACGGCAAGAACAAAUCGUUCGACGAGGAUUUAACGGCCAUAAAAUCGCUUUUUAUUUUAUUGUCCAAUUAAUAUUUCUUCCCGCGUUUCCUUUUUUUUUUUUUUUUUUUUGAAAUUCAAGCAUCGAAAUUCAAUCGUUCAUUUUUGGCUUCGGUUUUAUCGUUCGGAUGAUUUUUCACGAUCGUUUAGAAUUAUUCGUUUAACUUUCGUAAUUCGUUAAACUUUUAAUAAAAAAAAAAAAAAAAAGAAAUUUCAAACAGGAAA
rnacentral:lncRNA from 1 species